AUUGAACGCUGGCGGCAUGCCUUACACAUGCAAGUCGAACGGCAGCACGGGAGCAAUCCUGGUGGCGAGUGGCGAACGGGUGAGUAAUAUAUCGGAACGUGCCCAGUCGUGGGGGAUAACGCAGCGAAAGGUGUGCUAAUACCGCAUACGAUCUAAGGAUGAAAGCGGGGGAUAGCAAGACCUCGCGCGAUUGGAGCGGCAGAUAUCAGAUUAGCUAGUUGGUGGGGUAAAGGCCCACCAAGGCGACGAGCUGGAGCUGGUCAGAGAGGACGACCAGCCACACUGGAACUGAGACACGGUCCAGACUCCUACGGGAGGCAGCAGCGGGGAAUUCUGGACAAUGGGCGCAAGCCUGAUCCAGCAAUGCCGCGUGCAGGAUGAAGGCCUUCGGGUUGUAAACUGCUUUUGUACGGAACGAAACGGCCCUUUCUAAUACAAGGGGCUAAUGACGGUACCGUAAGAAUAAGCACCGGCUAACUACGUGCCAGCCGCCGCCGUAAGAC
rnacentral:rRNA from 1 species